rnacentral:tRNA from 1 species
GGGCGUGUAGCUCAACGGUAGAGCAGUGGCCUUUUAAGCCAUUGGCUGAGGGUUCGAGCCCCUCCACGCUCA